rnacentral:rRNA from 1 species
GCUUGUCUCAAAGAUUAAGCCAUGCAUGUCUAAGUGUAAAUAAGUCUAUACUGUGAAACUGCGAAUGGCUCAUUAAAUCAGUUAUCGUUUAUUUGAUGAUCUCUUACUACUUGGAUAACCGUAGUAAUUCUAGAGCUAAUACAUGCACAAAAUCCCGACUUACGAAGGGAUGUAUUUAUUAGAUACAAACCAACAUCGUGGUGAUUCAUAAUAACUCGCGGAUCGGUUUACCGAUGCAUCAUUCAAGUUUCUGCCCUAUCAGCUUUGGAUGGUAGGGUAUUGGCCUACCAUGGCUUUAACGGGUAACGGAGAAUUAGGGUUCGAUUCCGGAGAGGGAGCCUGAGAAACGGCUACCACAUC